CUAUGGUAUGUUUGUCCAGGUGCCUUGAGAAAUACCAAAAUUUUUGACAACUUAUUUCUUUUGGGCCAUAUCUUUUUUAUUACAAUGCAAGAGAAAUUUCAGUACACUAAGAGACAGAGAUUCUAUGCAGAGUUUCAGUUUCCUCUUAGCUCCUAUAAAAUGGAAUAUCAUGCUGUACUGAGAUAUUUCAUGUACUGCUCUUGCCUUCUGUCUUUAGAUGGGAUUCAUUCAUUACCUGAAUCAUCUGGAUCCCAAGAAUUGGAUUAGUGGCUCACAACACUCCAUCUUUUGGGACAGGAGAGAGGGUGUCUAUUUCCUGUGGCUACAUUUUGCAAUCGUGAACUCCAUGAAAGCAAGAAUCAAAUCUGUUUUGAAGCACACCCAGCAUUUAGGGGAAUAUCUGGGAAGUAGAAGGCAUUCAGUAAAUAUUAGCGAAGUGAAUGUAUAUAUUUCUUGUUCUAUUUGUGAAAAAAAACCAUUUAUUAUAAAGAAGUUAAAUUCUGAUGUAUUAUGUCAGAUUAAUACUAUAAUGUCAUAUUCAUUAAUAAUGAGGCCCUUAGCAAAAACCAAAAUGUGUCUGUCGAACAGUUCAUUAGUGGGAAAUCGAGUUUAGUGUAGUAUGAGAUUUUCAGGUAAGAUAUUCUGAUCUUUUUCAUGAUAUGUCAGCAUAUUGAAGGUUUGGGCAGGGCUGACAUUUUUGUUUCCCACAGAUGUUUACGCCAGAUGGUUGUUGCCUAUUUUGACUGGUGCCUGUAUUAUAACAGUUGUUAAAUAAUUUGAAUAUAUAAUAUUUAAAUAUGUAGCUUGUCUUUGAUCUUUUGACAACAGAGAUAGCUUCAUUUACCUAAAGAGGAACUGAUUUUAAAAAUUAAUUUAUUUGAAUUUAAACACAUCAUAUGCUAGUCAAAACUUUUAGGGAAAGAAUAUGUAUAUGUGUGCAUGUAAACCACACAAGCAUUCGGUGCACAAGUUAUUAGGCUCAAGUAGGAAUUUACUAUACAGUUAGAUGCUCCUUAUUUUCAGAGUUGGAUUUUAUAUUUUGAAUUGGAAGAAUGCUGACCUGAGAGUCAAAAACUCUUCAUUUUGAGCCAUGGUUGCAUAACCUUAGGUAUCUUAAUAUUGGGCUUAGUUUACUCGUUUGCAAAAUGAGAUGAAUGGACAAGGUAUCUCUAAAGUCUAUUCUAGACAUGAAUUGUCAUGAUUUUGCAGUAUAUGUUCCUUUUAACAAGUGAGACAUUACCAGGAUAAAUACAGGAAAAACUAGCAACAUCCCCUUCCCCCCUCACCCUCCUGAGUAACCAAUGCAAUAUGCAGUGAACAUCCUUCUAUCAUCCUUUUUUGGCACACACAAACAUAGAUAAACAAAAUAAGUGUAUGUACGUUUUCUUGCCUGCAAAAAGUAAAACAAAAUACCAUUAUUCAGAUUGGUUUCCUUGCUAAUAGACAUCUGAAUGUCUUCAGGUUUUAUUUUUGUCACUGUAAAUAGUAUUUCAGUAAACAUCAUUGUAGAAGUAUCACUACGUGCUGAUGUUUUUUUUUUUUUUCUGUCAGAUACAUUUUUGAAAAUAGAAUUUCUGGGUCAAAGGUAUAUGACACUGUAAUUUAAUAGAUAAUUGCUGAUUUAUUUCUAAAAUAUUUAUGGUGAUUUAGGAUGCAAAGGAGUGUCAAUUUCCCUGUAUUCUUGCCAGCACUAGGUUAAUAUUUUGUUUUCUAUUGCUCAUUUGAAAGCUAAAAAUGAUGUCAUUUUUGUUUAAUUUGAAUUCUCUUGACUGUUAGAACAAUAAAAAAUAGUUCUACUUACAUCUCUUCAAGUGAUGAGUCUGCAUACUCUCUACUAUGAAUUGGAAAUUCAUAGACUUUGCAUAUGUCCAUUUUUAAAUUAUUAACUUUUAGAUAUUAUAUAUACUGUAAAUAUUUUUCCCAGUAUUUAGUUUGUCCUUCUGUUUAUGGUAUAUGUAGCCAGAGAUGCCUGUCAUUUUUUAAAAUAGGUGAUUUGUUUUCUGUCUUGCUUAAGUGAGAAGAUCCUCACCAAGGGCUUCCUUCUGGAAUUUUUCUUGCUUUAUUUAAAAAUAGUUAAUUCACCAGGACUUUAAAAAGUGUAUAAAGUAAUAGUCUAAAUUUGUAUUUUUACAUGGGGUUUUUAGUGGAAAAAUACUGAAUUAAAAGCUUAUUUUGUCACAUAAAAGGUCUCAUGUGUAUUUGGAUAUAAUUCUAGAUUCCCCACUCUGCUCUCUAGAUUUGCUUAUUCACGUGCCACUGCUGUACCCUUCUAACAGCUUCCUGGCAAGUUUUAAUGGCUGUAGAAUUAUAUUAAACAUAUAUGUUAAUUUGGAAUGAUUAAAAUCUGAAUAUAAUAUGGUGUAUUCCCACUCAGUAUCAUUUUGUGCCUCUCUGUUUAAUAAUAUAUUAUUGUUUUCUUUGUAUAGCCCCUGCACAUUCCAGGAAUGCCAAACAUUUAUUGUUACAAGAAGGUUUUCAUUUCCUUUCCAUUUCUAGCUGUAUUGAUGAAAAGUUAAAGUACUGAUUUUGGUAUAUUUAUCUCAUAGGUAGCCCUUAUAAAAACUUCUUAUUCUCAUAGUUUUUCUAUAGAGUUUCUUCAGUUUUCUAGGCACAUUAUAAUUCUAUCCGCAAAUACAGAUGAUUUUGUUUCUUCUUUUCCAGCAUUCAUAGCAAAUAUUCUGUUUAAUAAUAUUGCAAUUGCAAAAAACUCCAAAAGAAUGUUGAAUAAUCAUAGUCUUAGUGAGUAUUUCAUUGUUCUGGAUUUUAAUAAAAAUGCCUUCAGUAUUUGUAUUACUCGAUUUUCACCCUGCUUGAUAAAGACAUACCUGAGACUGGGCAAUUUACAAAGGAAAGAGGUUUAAUGGACUUACAGUUCCACAUGGCUGGGGAGGCCCCACAAUCACAGCAGACGGCGAGAAGGAGCAAGUCCCGUCUUACAGGGACGGUAGCAGGCACAAAAAUAGAGUUUGUGCAGGGGAACUCCUCUUUUCAAAACCAUCAGAUCUUGUGAGACUCAUUCACUAUCACGAGAGCAGCCCAGGAAAGAUCCACCCCCAUAAUCCAGUCACCUCCCA
rnacentral:lncRNA from 1 species